GAGUUUGAUCAUGGCUCAGAGCGAACGCUGGCGGCAGGCCUAAUACAUGCAAGUCGAGCGCCCUUUCGGGGGAGCGGCGGACGGGUGAGUAACGCGUGGGAACGUGCCCUAUGGUGCGGAACAACUGAGGGAAACUUCAGCUAAUACCGCAUGAGCGCUACGGCGGAAAGAUUUAUCGCCAUAGGAGCGGCCCGCGUUGGAUUAGCUAGUUGGUGGGGUAAUGGCUCACCAAGGCUACGAUCCAUAGCUGGUCUGAGAGGAUGAUCAGCCACACUGGGACUGAGACACGGCCCAGACUCCUACGGGAGGCAGCAGUAGGGAAUCUUGCGCAAUGGGCGAAAGCCUGACGCAGCCAUGCCGCGUGAAUGAUGAAGGUCUUAGGAUUGUAAAAUUCUUUCACCGGGGACGAUAAUGACGGUACCCGGAGAAGAAGCUCCGGCUAACUUCGUGCCAGCAGCCGCGGUAC
rnacentral:rRNA from 1 species